rnacentral:rRNA from 1 species
UACGUAUGGUGCAAGCGUUAUCCGGAUUUACUGGGCGUAAAGGGAGCGCAGGCGGCGCGCCAAGUCUGAUGUGAAACCCCGGGGCUCAACCCCGGGCGUGCAUUGGAAACUGGCGGGCUGGAGUGCCGGAGAGGUAAGCGGAAUUCCUAGUGUAGCGGUGAAAUGCGUAGAUAUUAGGAGGAACACCAGUGGCGAAGGCGGCUUACUGGACGGCAACUGACGCUGAGGCUCGAAAGCGUGGGGAGCAAACAGG